GCUUGAUUGUGUUUUCUUUGUUCUGAUAUUAAAGAUUUGCAAACCAAUUAUUCCCGGUUUUUAUUUCCAGAUUUUAACAACAAUUUUUUUUCUUGAAUAUUCUUUUCAAAUUCUAGAGCCAGAGAAUUAAGUUCAAGCAAACAAACUCUGUCUUUUGCGAGUCAGCCUGGAUACGGUUUCUGCACAGGGUCGGGUCACCGAUUUAAG
rnacentral:lncRNA from 1 species